GUGCCAGCAGCCGCGGUAAUACGUAGGGUGCGAGCGUUGUCCGGAAUUAUUGGGCGUAAAGGGCUCGUAGGCGGUUUGUCGCGUCGGGAGUGAAAACACACAGCUUAACUGUGUGCUUGCUUCCGAUACGGGCAGACUAGAGGUAUGCAGGGGAGAACGGAAUUCCUGGUGUAGCGGUGAAAUGCGCAGAUAUCAGGAGGAACACCGGUGGCGAAGGCGGUUCUCUGGGCAUUACCUGACGCUGAGGAGCGAAAGUGUGGGGAGCGAACAGGAUUAGAUACCCCUGUAGUCC
rnacentral:rRNA from 1 species